ACGGGAGGCAGCAGUGGGGAAUAUUGCACAAUGGGGGAAACCCUGAUGCAGCAACGCCGCGUGAAGGAAGACGGUCUUCGGAUUGUAAACUUUUGUUCUUAGUGAAGAUAAUGACGGUAGCUAAGGAGAAAGCCACGGCUAACUACGUGUCAGCAGCCGCGGUAAUACGUAGGUGGCAAGCGUUGUCCGGAAUUACUGGGUGUAAAGGGAGCGCAGGCGGGAAAUCAAGUUGGAUGUGAAAUGUCGGGGCUUAACCCCGGAACUGCAUCCAAAACUGAUUUUCUUGAGUGAAGUAGAGGUAGGCGGAAUUCCGAGUGUAGCGGUGAAUGCGUAGAUAUUCGGAGGAACACCAGUGGCGAAGGCGGCUUACUGGACGGUAACUGACGUUGAGGCUCGAAAGCGUGGGGAGCAAACAGGAUUAGAUACCCUGGUA
rnacentral:rRNA from 1 species